rnacentral:rRNA from 1 species
AUUGAACGCUGGCGGCGGGCCUAACACAUGCAAGUCGAACGGCAGCGGGGGGUAGCUUGCUACUCUGCCGGCGAGUGGCGGACGGGUGAGUAAUGCCUGGGGAGCUGCCCAAUCGAGGGGGAUACCAGUUGGAAACGACUGCUAAUACCGCAUACGCCCUGAGGGGGAAAGGGGGGGAUCUUCGGACCUACCGCGAUUGGAGGCACCCAGGUGGGAUUAGCUCGGUGGUGAGGUAACGGCUCACCAAGGCGACGAUCUCUAGCUGGUCUGAGAGGAUGACCAGCCACACUGGAACUGAGACACGGUCCAGACUCCUACGGGAGGCAGCAGUGGGGAAUAUUGCACAAUGGGGGAAACCCUGAUGCAGCCAUGCCGCGUGUGUGAAGAAGGCCUUCGGGUUGUAAAGCACUUUCAGCGAGGAGGAAAGGGGUGAUGCUAAUACCAUUAUCCUGUGACGUUACUCGCAGAAGAAGCACCGGCUAACUCCGUGCCAGCCGCCGCCGUAACAC